rnacentral:lncRNA from 1 species
AGAUCAGCUCUAGUGGUGUGUCCUGAGCCAUGGGUAGAAUUGUAGAUGGUAAGGUUGCAGGCUUAGUGCUCAGUGAGAUGUCCAUCACUGACUGGACCUGUGUGGUUCACUUGACACUGUGCUCAUAGCUGCUCCGUGUCCCACUGCCUUGCUGUUUGAGUGUAAUUGAGCAUUUUCAUGAAGUGCAUAUGUUGCAUGAUCUUUAACAGGUAUUUUUAAACAUUAAAAACAGCACGAUGUUACUGACAUUAUGCAAUAUCAUGUGAUGGGUACUUGAGAGGCAGUUUGGUUUCUUUCCAGGUGAGUAGUUAUAGCUCACGGUCAUGGGAGCCCUUUAUUCACACUGUCUGUGAAGUUAAUGCUGGAGUGCCAAGUGCACACGGGGACUAGGAACAAUAAAGAGUUGCAUGCC